UUUCGGUGGAAGGACAACAAUUCCUCUUCAUCAUACCCUUAACUGAUUCUCGAAGUUCAUUUCGCCCUUUCAGCUUGCUUUGGGAAGGUGCACAGUCUUAGCGUCUGUUAUCGAGUUGUAUCAUCUUUCAAACUGAUUAAUCGCGGACGAAGCGAACGUUGCUUUCUGUAAGUAGUAACACAGUAAAGUAUAAUUAACCCAUCUAUGAGUUGAGUCUGCGACAAAUUUUUAAGGACAUUUUCGAGUUGGUGCCUGCCAUAGUAUUCCAAACAUUUUGCAGUCCUGCAUUUCUGAAGUGCGAUUUCUUGUUUUCCGAUAUUUUGGAAGUCUGACUAUCGCGAUUUGACUAUUCAGUAUUUUUUCGAAGGUUGUACUUCAAAAUCUUUAUUUUCAGCUUAUCUAGUAUGGCGAGUUCAUUCGUAGCGAGAAAUACUCAGGGAAAAAAAUGUCCAGCCACGAAGCUUGCUGAAAAAAUUGAACUUUACAUUAAAAAGUUAAAAUCGAUGGAGAAGCAAUUGGAGGUACUUUGUCAGAGUGAAAAUAAACGAACAAUUCCAGUCACAUUUUGUGAAGUGUCUGGUGUUCAUAUGCCUGUGACUGCGUCCAUUAAAGUUAAAGUGAACUACAGUAAAAUCUUGUUUCGCUGUUUACUUGAAGGACUUGAGUAUCAUGAUGUACCUGAUAUAAGCACUGAUCGCCUUAUGAAGAUAGGUUUGCUACUCCAGAAGCGGGCACGGCGAGCUAGAGCUCUAACUAGACAAAUUCAUAGCCAGAUUGAUAGGCAAAAUUCAUAAGCAUCCAUGAUUUCAUCCGGGUUUCCUUCCAAUAUGCUCAACUAGAUUUAAAUCAGGAGAUUAGAGAAGUGCUUUUCUAGGCAGUUAUUAGAAAACCCUUGUAGUAGUUUGUUAAAAACAACAUUCGCUUGUACUACAUCCAUAAGAAAUGUAUUUAAAGCGAUGUGUAUCUUGAAAGAAAGCUCAGUAUUUUCUGAUACCAAAGUUUUAUGUAGACGUUCUGUAAUAAAGUAUUCAAAAUUUUAUGUUUUGAUGUUAAGCCUUCA